rnacentral:rRNA from 2 species
UGGGGAAUAUUGCACAAUGGGCGAAAGCCUGAUGCAGCAACGCCGCGUGAGCGAUGAAGGCCUUUGGGUCGUAAAGCUCUGUCCUUGGGGAAGAAAAAAAUGACGGUACCCUUGGAGGAAGCCCCGGCUAACUACGUGCCAGCAGCCGCGGUAAUACGUAGGGGGCAAGCGUUAUCCGGAAUUAUUGGGCGUAAAGGGUGCGUAGGUGGUUUCUUAAGUCAGAGGUGAAAGGCUACGGCUCAACCGUAGUAAGCCUUUGAAACUGGGAAACUUGAGUGCAGGAGAGGAGAGUGGAAUUCCUAGUGUAGCGGUGAAAUGCGUAGAUAUUAGGAGGAACACCAGUUGCGAAGGCGGCUCUCUGGACUGUAACUGACACUGAGGCACGAAAGCGUGGGGAGCAAACAGG